rnacentral:lncRNA from 1 species
UUUCAAAUCACAUAUGGCUUCUUUGACCCCAUAAAAUAACUUUAUUCACACAAACGUCCCUUAAUUUACAAAGCCUCAGUCAUCCAUACACAUUAGGGGGAUCCACAGUGUUCAAGGAACUUAAAUAUAAUGUAUCAUACCAACCCAAGUAAACCAAGUACAAAAAAUAUUCAUAUAAAGUUGUUCACACGUAGGUCCUAGAUUACCAGCUUCUGUGCAAAAAAAGAAAAUAAAGAAAAAUAGAUUUAUUAACUAGUAUUUGAAACUAACUUUGUGCCUCGGUUAAAACCUCCCUCACACCCAAGUUGGCCCCACACGAAUGUUAAAUCGUUGCAACAUACUCUCCUGCUCUGAUGGAGAGAGGAGACCCUGCCCCUAGACCUAGGCAGGCAGGAUCAGAGAUGGGCUUGUGUUGUCCCGAACGCUGUGCCUCAGCCUGGUGUGCGAGAAUGGCCAUGGCACUCCCUCUGGGCCUGGUGGCCUGAAGAGCUGAGUGCAAGCUUGGCUGUUGUCAAGUUGCCAGUUCCUAGGAGACUCUGGUAGCCAUCUCUGCCUGGGGGCUGCCAUAAGGCCCAGGAAGGGGAAAAGAGUCAUUGGGGAGCAAUAACCCAAGAGCCCCACUUAGAAUCAGAGCCACCGGUGCCCCCAGAUGUCUGUGUGUGGGGCGCAUGAGCAGGAUCAAAGGUGGGAGGUGUACCUGGCAGGCAGGGCUGGGAGCUCAGGCAGCCUUGGCAUGGAGCAAGGAGAGGGCAGAGAGGGUCCCCUCCUUAGGGGGUGAAAGCCCAACUCUUGCUUUCCCAAGCUUCCAAAAGAUACCCCAAGGCUGAAACCCAGGCAUCCAUCCUAUUAAGAUCUGUCUUCUAAGAAGGUAAACAGCCAACAGCAUAAAAAGAAAGAAGAUUCCCAUAAUGCCAGCUCUUUUCCUUUUCUUAGAAAAAGACUCAAGCAAAAAUAAUCAUCUUAUUGCUCCAAACGCUGGCUUUCUAGGAGACAAGUGAUAUGUUCAGGAGCUGAGAACCUUGGAGGAAGGGAAUGACAGAGGUGGGAACGUCCAGGGGGACGAGGGCUGUGAGAAAGGUGGUGAGUGGUCUUAGCACCGCAGGGCCAGGGGGCAGGGAAAGUCCAGGGCGCGCACCCCUGCCCCUGGCGUCUCUGCCUUCAUUCGCUCUGGGACCACCACUGGCCGUGCCAUACAUGAGGCCAUACAUGUCCAGAGAGUCAGAGCUCCACCCACUGUUGGGCACACUUCUCCUCCAGCUGUAAACAGGGUACUUCUUAAGUAAACAUUGAAUACACUCCCUCAGAAAGGCAGCCAAGGUGGGCAAACCAUGUCCGGGUGGGAGGAAAGAGUUCCUAUUCUCCUGUCCCAAUGCCUCUGGGAUGAGAUGAGACUAAGGCCUGAGACCUUAGUCCCCAGUGCCCAGAAGGGGGUCAGAUGGAGCAUCUUGAGUGAACAGACUGUGGCAUCCUCCUGGCUAGAGGUAAGAAGCAGGGGACCUGCUGGGUAGUGAGACGCAGAGACGCGCACCUGUCUGAAGCACAGUUCUCCUGUCCUCGGCUAAAGCUGCUAGUGAGUGCCCUGGUGGUGGGCGGGGAGACAUGUGCCUGGACACAGCCCGCAGGAAGGGGUCGGGAGGUCAUGUGGGGGAGUAAUCCUGCCCAUAGACUAUCUGUGAGUGGGAACAGAGUUUAAGUGACAGAUGGACCCAGACAGGGAGAAAGAUGCGUACUUCCUACUGAGCCAGGUGGCCUGGUGAGGGGAGGGCAAUGGAGUAAGGCACUAAGAUCUGUCUUGCUGAUUCUUCUCCCUGAAGGGAAACCGAGCUCAGACCCAUGGGGCUGAGGCCCGGAACCUCCCUCCAAGAGGCUAUCCUUUUCACAGAUCCAGAGAGAAGAGAAUAACUGACUGCUAUUUUAAGGUUUGGAAACUCCUAGAACUUGGACAGGCCUAACAAACUUGGUGGCACUCAGAUGACGCACCACAGGGUUGUUGCCAGGCCCAAGACCCAGGUGGAGAGGGUGAAACGGCAGGAAGAGGCGAGGAAGCGGACCCACGGUGGGAAGAGGUGGAAAAUGGCUAAGAAAGGUGACAGGAGCUCCCCGAGCCAGACCCCAAGGCUGGGCCACUGACUGGGCAGAGGCAGCGCUCACUCCAGGCUGACUCCCACCUAACAGGCCGGGUGCCUGAGGCGGACUGAGUGGAGAGAGCAGCAGAGGGACAGGGAGGCACUUGGGGGCUAACGAGCUGGCCCUCAUGACCUAGGGAAGGAGGUCCCAUCAACAAGCAAGGAUGGCUGGGAGUCCUGCAGAUAAGGGUGCAUGGAAGCUGGUUGCCUGUUCACCCGAAAGGUAUGGGCAUCCUGUGACCCACAGGGGGUACUCUGGUGCCAAGAAAAAUAAAGGGGAGCACUACAGCUCCAAGACCUUGUUUAGACAGAGCUGAGACCAGGGAGGGCAGAAAAAAGAUUAAGCAAAAGGUGAAUGACUUGUCAGGCUUGAGCCCUCACUAGGGACUUUAGAGCAUGGGCUGGAGCCAGGGAGAGCUGGGGGUGCCGAGUCCGGGGACUGUUUUUCCCAUCUGCUCCUGUACAGAGACAGCCGCCCCCAGGGAAGCAGGGUGGUGGGGCCGAGAAGGAGGGCACACUGCAAUGAGGGGAUGCCGCUCAACCAAGCCUCCAGCUGCGGCUCAGGCUACACUCAGGAGGUCGCCUGGGAAGUCAGAGAAGAGCCGAGAGACAGGCGAUCACCAAGGAUUUCAGCCAAGGAAGGGAGGGGCCUGGGUACCACCUGCAGCCCUGCCGGAUCUGCCAACCACAGCCAAUCGUCUGCCCAGGAGGAAGAGUAGCCUUAGUAUUUGAGGGGUUGGGAAAACAACGUGAGUGAACAUAUUGCCGAGUCUGGUCUGAUGCCGUGCUGGUCUCUCCCAAACUGCCAGCGCCAAAGGACUGCUGCUUUUAGGGGGAAGCCCCCCUUGGUCACACAUCAACUUAACUGCCCUCCAACUAUCUCCCCUAUUGAACCUAUGCUGGCUUAGAGAAAACAAAAAACAAAAUUAAACACAAAAGAGGAAUUCCUUUCUCCUUCCCCAAAGCCCCUUUCCUGCUCGGCCAUAAUCGGGUGAAAAGCCUUUGGAGAAGCCAAAGUUGUUUCCUGGUGAGAGGGACAACACAGGAAUAGCGCCUCCCACCCUCCUUGCAAGGGGACAGAACAGACAGGUUCAGAAGCCUGCGAGGGCGGCGGCUGCAAGAGCAUCAGUAAGGAGUGUCAGCACGGUUACACAGAGGUGCUUAGAUCCACACUGGCGGUGAGGUCGAAGGAGUCACGUCGGGAAGCUUUAAAGUGGCCAGGCCCCAGAUGGACACCUAGCGGCUGCGGGGUGUCCACCUGGUCACCUCUCUGCAGGUCCACUCUUUUCCCACCAGACACAUUUACAUGGAGGGUAGACACCUAACAGUAAGUCCCUGGGAGUGAGGGAGAUGGUGCCUGACACUGUCACCAUAUGUGACACCAUGGCGCCCAGCAUACAGGGCACACCCUUCACUGCCAGGAGAUGACAGUGGCGGCCAGUUCAGGACACCCUGUUCUUAUGGCAAUGGUCACAACUGGAUCUCAGGGACAUCGGCAGUCUCUGUGAUAACCUGGACAUUUGGUGAACACAUCUAGGAGGAAGACAAUCCAGGAGGCAGUAGGUGGUGGGUGCUGACCUCACAGGAGUGACAAAUGCCCGAGGAAGACCCCGCUGUGUCCCGGGCAGAGGUUUGGCACGACAGUUUUUUCCUGGGGAACUUCCUCUGGAAAGGUGGGCUUGCAGAACUGGGGCGCUGGCCGCUCAACUGCCAGGAAGUGGGAGAUGGUCACCUUCUGUCCCUCCUCAGAGCUCCCGGUCAGAAAGGGCAGAAGAGGGAAUGGAGUCCCCCCACUAUAAGGCCUGGUGUGGCCCGGGGCUUCCGACGACGUAAAGAGAACAAGCGCACAGGUUAGACCUUCUUUCUCAAGUUCUCCUGGCCAAACCCUGGCCUUCUUCUUCCAGGUGUUCUUUGCCUCUGAUCAUUUCCAAGGCCCCAGGGCUAGACAGGAGCAGCCGCCAGAGUCCGGCCGUUCCUGCAUCUGGUGGGGAGGUGGCCCAAUGCCUCCUUCUGUCUUAAUGCCCCCAUCCCAGGAGAAAUCCCAAAAUUCUCCCCGGAGAGGCAGGCCUUCUCUGGGGAAGUGAGGUGUGAUACGCAGAGCUGAGAGAUGGGUACAAGAAAGACAACAGGGAAAUAUAAAGGACAAAAACAAAAUAGCUCCCAAACCCCUUAUAAAAAUUAGAAAGGAAACUUAUACGUAUGCUUUGUCCAUGUUGAAUUUCUUUAAAGAAAUUGGUGCCUGUCCACAGCAUAGCUUCCUGCUCUUCUGAAGUCUUAAUCGUUUAAAUUAAAAAAAGAAAAGAAAAGAAAAAGACAAAAAAGAAAAGAAAAUUAAAAAAAUUAAGUGAAACUAAAAGGAGGAGGAAAACCCAAAAGCUUCACAUUGCCGGAGAUCCAGCUGUCGGGAGAUCGCCAACCGACCAAGCCACCACCUGUACCCUCUGCCGUCCUGUGUGCGAGACAUGAUGAGACUGUGGGUCCCGAGGAUCAACCUGGAAGACAGAAGGCAGGGAACGAAUGGACAUGGGGGUCAGCAGGCCUGGGGCCUCCAAGCUCCAGAACCCCCAGGAGGUGCCAGCACCCAACCCAGACGAACUCAGGAGCUAUGAGGUGCUGGGGAGCAGGGGAGAAGGCUUUACCACAACCACCCUGCCGUGGACACAGUAUUCUCCUUUUUCAGGUAAGGAAACUGAGCCACAGGUUAAGCGCCAUGCCCAAGGUCACAUCAACUGAGGGGCAGAGCUUCAUAAUGGGGAACCCAGGCAUGACGGCUCCAACGACAAAUCCGAUCAUGAACCCCAUCCCUCUAAUGGCUUCUCUGAAUUACGAGCACACAAUGCCACAGGACCCUAGCUGUCUAUCCCCGCAGGCCCUGGCAGCCCCCGUCCCCUCCUACUUCCCGCCCACCCUCUCUGACUAACCGUGCUGUACUGAGACUUCGCAGCAACUCUCUUGAGUUUAUUUAUCCCGUUUUAGAGACAAGAAAAGGGAGGCUCAGGCCUCUGGGAACCUGCAUGAGGGAACCAAGGUUCUCAAGCCUUAAGAGGGGCCAGAGUCCCACAGCCAGGGGCAGUGUAGACUCAGAGUCACCCGCGUGGCCCCACACUGCAGUACACUGCACCGUUUAAACCUCACUUCCCCAGGGAACGCCUGCCUCUCCAGGGAGAAUUCUGGGAUUUCUCCUGGAACGAGACACGGAGCCAGAAUCUGUGGCUGAGUUCACAGGGUCUGCCACUUGACCAUGGCCAAAUUUAGGUCCUUGGUUCCUUGGUCUCAUCACCUCUACCCAUUCACAGGUUGUUAUGAGUACCAAGUGAACUAACACGUGUAAAACUCAGAACAGUGCCUGGCCAUAUUAUUAUGAGCUAUUAUUUGGGAAUCGCCUUGGUCCCAGGCCUCAGGACCUCUCAGUGGAGGUUGAGAAUACAAGAACCUACAGAGAUUAGCCUUGGGCCAGCCCCCACCCCCAGCCUGGCUUUCCCAGUCUGAGCCGUCUGAGCAGAGCUAAGUAUAGCCCUACCCUGGGCAGGGCGGGCACCCAGGGCAGCGACGCUCUGUCACACGGACUCAUCUGAUAGUUUCCAAGUGCCGGCUCUCAUUCUGAGCACUGACGCCAACACGUCCAGCACUGUGCGCUUGAAAUCCCCCCUGGGCUCCAAUGCUCUGGGAGCGCUCUGUAGCCCGAGAGGUGUACCCUCCCAGCCCCGCGCCCUCCCCACCAUUACUUGCCACCUGUGCAGUCUGACAAUACUGGUCCGCUGUCCUCAGGUCCUGGAGAGACGCCUCACUAGUCUCCAUGAGAGGCAGCAGGGUACAGCAGUACUGGAUGAUUUGCUACCUGUCAGCCUCAGUUUCCUCCUCUGAGAAAUGGGGGGCUCCUUUCUCAGGUUUGAGGGGACUACAAAGCAGCCAACCACAGCAGGAAGUGACACACUCCAUGAGCCCAUCUCUGAUGGCCAUUGACCCCAACCAGAGAUUACAACUGUGUCAAAUUUAAACAGGCUGUGAUCCUCGGCCACUUCACCACCAACGCUGCUUCUACCUGGGUCAGGGUACAUGGCAAGGACGCACCCCAUGUGGCGAGUGUCACCAAGCCUUCGGGAGAGCAACCUGGCAAGGUGUUUUCAGAGCUUCCAAUGUGUUUAGACCCAUAGACCUUAUAAUUCCACUUCUGGAAAUGUAGCUUAACCAACAAUGCGAAAUAUGAAAAGGACUUUAUGAAUAAGGAUGCUCACUGAAGUAUUACUUAAAUUAUGAGGCAAGAAACCACAAAUCCAAAAGUAAGAGAUUUAAGCAAAUGUUGUACCUACUCAAUGACAUAUUACAGAGGAGAUGAGAAGGCUGUGUGGCACUGUCAGCACUAUGGCAGAAGCACUUCCCUGGGUUAAGUGGAAAAAAGUAGGUUACAAAGUUCUGUGGCAUAUAGUAUGACCAAAGCUAUGUAAAACAAACACCUCCAAGUAUAGGAAAAUCUGGCAAGAAGUAUAUCGAAAUGUUGUACUUGUGAGCACAUCUUCUUCUUCCCCUGCUUUUCCACCGUAUUUUCACACAGGCGUACCUCAGAGGCAUUGCGGGUUCAGUUCCAGACCACCGCAAUAAGGCAAAUAUUGCAAUUAAGUGAGUCACACAAAUUUUUCGGUUUCCCAGUGCAUAUAAAAGCUAUGUUUACACUCUACUAUAGUCUAUUAAGUGUGCAACAGCACUACAUCUGAAUGUACAAUGUACAUACCUUAAUUAAAAAAUACUUUGCUAAAAAAUGCUAACCAUCAUCCGAGCCUUCAGAGAGUCGUAAUGCUUUUGCUGGUGGAAGGUCUUGUAAAAAACGCACUAUCUGCAAAGUGCAAUAAAACAAGGGUUGCCUGUAUUGAGUACCCAUCACACUGUCAUGCUUUACUUUUUAAUGGGAAAAACAGUGUCCUUUAGGGAAUAAGAAAAGCUAGCAACUCCAAAGAAAGGUAGCAGCCAAAAGACCAGACGCAUGCUGCUCCACAUACAGCGGACAACGGAGAAUUUCCCACACGCAUCAGACGACGUCAGACUGCGAUUCCCUCCUCCACCGCACAGGUGAGGGUGACCCAGUGUCCGCAUGUAGAGUAAAGUGGAGAUGAAUGAUAAAGAUGCUGGGGAAAAAAAGGAUUUGAUCUGGAAAGAAAAUACUGGACUUCCCAGCCCCAACCUUUUCCUCGGCUGCUUCUGUUUCCCUGCCUUCAAUUAGCAAAAAUCCACUAGUGAGUCUUGUAUCCCAGUUUUUGCCUUGGAAAAACCCACUUAUCAUAAGCACGCCCCGUAAUGAUCCAGCAGUCAUCUCAAAUCUAGCUUUAUUCAACACGCCUACUCUCUUCUCCCUGUGCUUUCCAGAGAUGAAGCAGAGCAACCAGAAGAUGGGGGGAGCGAAGGUUUGGAGGGAACCUCACCAUCCAAGACACUCUAAGUCCUUGUGAAAGAUGACAAGAAAAGCCCAGGAAAUCGCAUGGUCAUGUAUGAUCUGCUAAGACAAUCUUUGGAACCAGUUACGACCUUUUUAACACUGCCUUCCUCCCUCCCUUGGUGGGACCCAAGCUGAGGACAACCUCCUCAAAAGGAUGACCAUCAGCAGGAAGGUGGCCCAUGGCAACUGGAGAGCAGUGCUGGCAAGGAGGCAGAGAUUCAGAAGCCAGAAGUCCCUUUUACAUCAUAAACUAGUGGAACAGAGUGUUGACUACAGAAGGUCAAAAAAACAGCAUAGCACAGCACUCUGCAAGACCUCCUGAAACAGCAGCGUCUAAGGACCGCUGUAAUCACUGGGUCCCUUGCCAGGAAGCGAGGCUGACAUUUCCCACAGGCUCCUCCACCCUGGCUCCAGCUUUGGCACUGGCUGCGGCCCUCCUGGUAGGACGCCUCAGGACAGCCUGCAGGUCUCAGUCUGCUUCUCCCUAGUGGGCAGGGCCAAUGAAAAUCAGAGGGCUCUCUCUUCCAUGGAGAGGACCUUGGCUUUGGGUUCCUCUAGGGGUCCCCACUAGAGAAGGUACACCUCCCCCAAGGAGCAAUGGCAGUAACUGCACUGGAAGAGAGCAGGGGCCCUUUCUACAGCCAUGAGUAGGAAUGGCUCGGACCACAGAGCUCUGGGUUGAAGUUGCAGCAGACCCUCCCAGGCACUUGCCGGAACAGGAAGUGGUAUAGGCCCUUGCACUCCAUCCCAGCAGAUGUCACACUUUAGCUCCCUGACUGCUCAGGCUGCGGCCUGACUGCCCAGCUCAGCUUCAAGCAGGGCUUGCCUUGUCCCUUUCAGCGGAACCCUACCUCCGACCAGAGCCCUCCUACUGGGCGAAGCCACAGCUGC